rnacentral:ncRNA from 1 species
AUAACAUCAAUGACGAGAAGAGUAGUACGUAUGUCUUGCACUAAAGAGAGUCGGCGGGUGGUGAAAGCCGAUGUCAGGAUACGGGUGAAAAUCAUCUCUGAGAUGCAAAGCUGAAAAAUACAAAUGCGCAAGCCGAUAGGCGCUGCUGCUAGAUGUGGACAAUAUUUUUUAAAGGGUUACCCCUCGGUCUAAAUUCUAUUGUUCACCAAACACCAAAGUAAGCUUUUGCCGGAAAAGUCCACCGUUAACAUGGACCGCGUAUGAUAGUACGUUGAUCGAGAGCCGUAUAGGUUUUUGCCUAUUUCGGAAGUAGGGUGGUAACGCGAGCUAGCUCGUCCCUUCA